rnacentral:sRNA from 1 species
UUGACAGCCCUGGAGACUGAUGUCCUAAUUAUCCUCAGAACAGGUGCACAUGGGCAAUGUCCUGCCAAUGUAACUCAGCCAAGAGGUGGAGAGCCCAGUUCCCAGAUUAGAUAGUAGUUCAGUGCAAAGGCUUUGCCAACUGAAGUUAUU